rnacentral:rRNA from 1 species
ACUCCUACGGGAGGCAGCAGUGGGGAAUAUUGCACAAUGGGCGCAAGCCUGAUGCAGCCAUGCCGCGUGUGUGAAGAAGGCCUUCGGGUUGUAAAGCACUUUCAGUCGUGAGGAAGGUAGUGUAGUUAAUAGGCCUGCUAUAUUUUGACGUUAGCGAACAGAAGAAGCGACCGGCUAACUCCGUGCCAGCAGCCGCGGUAAUACGGAGGGUGCGAGCG